rnacentral:rRNA from 1 species
GACGAACGCUGGCGGCGUGCUUAACACAUGCAAGUCGAACGGUAUAAUUUGAUAGCUUGCUCUUGGAGAAUCUAGUGGCAAGCGGGUGAGUAACACGUAGACAACCUGCCGACGGGAUGGGUACAACAUUCCGAAAGGAAUGCUAAUACCGAAUGAAGCGGAGGAGAGGCGUCUCUCCUCCGUGAAAGAUGGCCUCUGAAUAUGCUAUCACCUGUCGAUGGGUCUGCGUCUGAUUAGCUAGUUGGUGAGGUAACGGCUUACCAAGGCGACGAGCAGUAGCCGGUGGCGGAGGAUGGACGGCCACAUGGGGACGUGAACGGGGCCCAGGCGCCUGCGGGAGGGAGCAGUGGGGAACGUGCCGCAAUGGGGGCAAGCCUUACGGAGUGAGGGCGAGUGAGUGAAGGAUAUGCUCCGAUCGUAAUGCUCGGUUUAGGGUGGCGAACGGGCUAAGGGUGAAUAAUCCUUUUUAAUGACGGUACCUGCAGAAGAAGCCACGGCUAACUACGUG